rnacentral:rRNA from 1 species
AGCGGCGGACGGGUGAGUAAUGCUUAGGAAUCUGCCUAUUAGUGGGGGACAACAUUCCGAAAGGGAUGCUAAUACCGCAUACGUCCUACGGGAGAAAGCAGGGGAUCUUUAUGACCUUGCGCUAAUAGAUGAGCCUAAGUCGGAUUAGCUAGUUGGUGGGGUAAAGGCCUACCAAGGCGACGAUCUGUAGCGGGUCUGAGAGGAUGAUCCGCCACACUGGGACUGAGACACGGCCCAGACUCCUACGGGAGGCAGCAGUGGGGAAUAUUGGACAAUGGGGGGAACCCUGAUCCAGCCAUGCCGCGUGUGUGAAGAAGGCCUUUUGGUUGUAAAGCACUUUAAGUGGGGAGGAGGCUUACCUGGUUAAUACCUGGGCUAAGUGGACGUUACCCACAGAAUAAGCACCGGCUAACUCUGUGCCAGCAGCCGCGGUAAUACAGAGGGUGCGAGCGUUAAUCGGAUUUACUGGGCGUAAAGCGCGCGUAGGUGGUUAAUUAAGUCAAAUGUGAAAUCCCCGAGCUUAACUUGGGAAUUGCAUUCGAUACUGGUUAGCUAGAGUAUGGGAGAGGAUGGUAGAAUUCCAGGUGUAGCGGUGAAAUGCGUAGAGAUCUGGAGGAAUACCGAUGGCGAAGGCAGCCAUCUGGCCUAAUACUGACACUGAGGUGCGAAAGCAUGGGGAGCAAACAGGAUUAGAUACCCUGGUAGUCCAUGCCGUAAACGAUGUCUACUAGCCGUUGGGGGAUUUGAUCCUUUAGUGGCGCAGCUAACGCGAUAAGUAGACCGCCUGGGGAGUACGGUCGCAAGACUAAAACUCAAAUGAAUUGACGGGGGCCCGCACAAGCGGUGGAGCAUGUGGUUUAAUUCGAUGCAACGCGAAGAACCUUACCUGGCCUUGACAUAGUAGAAACUUUCCAGAGAUGGAUUGGUGCCUUCGGGAAUCUACAUACAGGUGCUGCAUGGCUGUCGUCAGCUCGUGUCGUGAGAUGUUGGGUUAAGUCCCGCAACGAGCGCAACCCUUUUCCUUAUUUGCCAGCGGGUUAAGCCGGGAACUUUAAGGAUACUGCCAGUGACAAACUGGAGGAAGGCGGGGACGACGUCAAGUCAUCAUGGCCCUUACGACCAGGGCUACACACGUGCUACAAUGGUCGGUACAAAGGGUUGCUACCUAGCGAUAGGAUGCUAAUCUCAAAAAGCCGAUCGUAGUCCGGAUUGGAGUCUGCAACUCGACUCCAUGAAG